rnacentral:piRNA from 1 species
CAAAUAUUGCUGGGUAGGCUGCUUUC